rnacentral:rRNA from 1 species
UACGAAGGGGGCUAGCGUUGCUCGGAAUUACUGGGCGUAAAGGGUGCGUAGGCGGUUCGUUAAGUCUGUCGUGAAAUCCCCGGGCUCAACCUGGGAAUGGCGAUGGAAACUGGGCAGCUAGAGUGUGUCAGAGGAUGGUGGAAUUCCCGGUGUAGCGGUGAAAUGCGUAGAGAUCGGGAGGAACAUCAGUGGCGAAGGCGGCCAUCUGGGACAACACUGACGCUGAAGCACGAAAGCGUGGGGAGCAAACAGG